GUCCUGGCCCUAAACGGUGCACGUUUGCUGUAAGAGGAAUCGACCCCUUUUGUGGCGAAGCUAACGCGUUAAACGUGCCGCCUGGGAAGUACGGCCGCAAGGUUAAAACUCAAAGAAAUUGACGGGGGCCUGCACAAGCGGUGGAGUAUGUGGCUUAAUUCGAUGCAACGCGAAGAACCUUACCUGGCCUUGACAUGCACAUAGUAGAAGGGUGAAAGCCUGACGAGGUAGCAAUACCAGUGUGCACAGGUGCUGCAUGGCUGUCGU
rnacentral:rRNA from 1 species